UGUUCUGUGGCUUAGUUGAAUAAAGCGCUGAUCUAGCGAAUAUGGAGUCGUGGGUUCGAAUCCCACCAAAACGC
rfam:Aedes albopictus isolate Foshan contig103756, whole genome shotgun sequence.